rnacentral:rRNA from 1 species
UAAGACAGAGGUGCCGAGCGUUAGGCGGAAUCACUGGGCUUAAAGCGUGUGUAGGCGGCCCGUUAAGUGUCUUGUGAAAUCCCGCGGCUCAACCGCGGAACGGCUGGGCAUACUGACGGGCUUGAGCGGCCUAGGGGCAGAUGGAACAAGUGGUGGAGCGGUGAAAUGCGUAGAUAUCACUUGGAACGCCGAAGGUGAAGACAGUCUGCUGGGGGCCUGCUGACGCUGAGACACGAAAGCCAGGGGAGCGAACGGGAUUAGAUACCCCGGUAGUCCUGGCCCUAAACGAUGUCGACUAGGUCGUGGGACCUCUGACGGUCUCACGGCCGAAGCCAAAGUGCUAAGUCGACCGCCUGGGAAGUACGGUCGCAAGGCUA